rnacentral:tRNA from 1 species
GCGUUGGUGGUAUAGUGGUGAGCAUAGCUGUCUUCCAAGCAGUUGACCCGGGUUUGAUUCCCGGCCAACGCA